rnacentral:lncRNA from 1 species
AAAAAACAACGUGUAAUAAGUAACUGUCACAAUUUUUCUAUUUCACUAUCACAAUUGAGGAAAAUAGUGUUUUGUCCAAAAUCCGCUAGUUGACAAUAGAAGUUGGAUCCUAAUUGUAUGAAUAUAGAAAGGGUUAUUAAAGAGGUUUUUGAUAUUGAUAGGUUCCUUAGAAGAUGUUUAUACAUUAUAGAAAUGUAUUGUUUCCGCAUACAAGUAUAGUGGACGAAGAAGAUAUCAUAGAAAAGUGAAAUUAGCCGAUGACUUGAUGGAGUCGCGGUGGCUUAACGAAGACAUUUUUUCUUUUCUGUUGUCUUGACAGACACGCAACUGAUGCAACCUGACCGAUUGCCGAGGGUGUGGAUCCUUGAGUAGGCUAGAGAGAUCGGACGCGAUUGACCUUGUGGUUAAGCCAGAGAGAUUGGACGCGAUGGACCUUGUGCUUCUGAAUAGGCCUCUCAUGUUUCUUUUCUUUGGGGUUUUUCUCUGAUUUGUGAGUGUUUCUUUACUUUUUAUAGGAAUUUUUUACAUGGUCUGUAUAUCAUGCUACCAGCAACAUAUUUCAUUUCAAUAAUAUGCAAAAUCUUUCCUUCAGUCAUAGGACUUCUUCCAUAUUUUCAACACAAAUUCAUAAAUUUCAUUUACU